rnacentral:rRNA from 1 species
CCUACGGGUGGCAGCAGUGAGGAAUAUUGGUCAAUGGACGCGAGCCUGAACCAGCCAAGUAGCGUGAAGGAUGACUGCCCUACGGGUUGUAAACUUCUUUUCUAAAGGAAUAAAGUGAGGCACGUGUGCCUUUUUGUAUGUACUUUAUGAAUAAGGAUCGGCUAACUCCGUGCCAGCAGCCGCGGUAAUACGGAGGAUCCAAGCGUUAUCCGGAUUUAUUGGGUUUAAAGGGAGCGUAGAUGGGUUGUUAAGUCAGUUGUGAAAGUUUGCGGGUCAACCGUAAAAUUGCAAUUGAUACUGGCAGCCUUGAGUACAGUUGAGGUAGGCGGAAUUCGUGGUGUAGCGGUGAAAUGCGUAGAGAUGACGAAGAACUCCGAUUGCGAAGGCAGCUUACUAAACUGCCACUGACAUUGAUGCUCGAAAGUGUGGGUAUCAAACAGGAUUAGAUACCCGGGUAGUC